rnacentral:lncRNA from 1 species
UGAUAGUUCCACAGUCUUUCUUUUUCAUAACCUUGACAGUUUUGAGGAGUACUGGUCAGGUGUUUUGUAGAAUAUUCCUCAAUUUGGGUUUGUCUGAUGUUUUCCUCAUGGUUAGAGUGGGGUUAUAGAUUUUUAGGAAGAAUACCAGAGGUGAAGGUCCUUCUCACUGCAUCAUGUCAGGAGUUACAUGCUAUCAGCUUGAUGGUGUAUUAACUUUGGACACUUGGUUAAGGUAGUGUGUGUUGGUUUUUUGCUGCUGAAAAUUACUGUUAUUUUCCCUUUCCAUACUUCUGUUCUUUGGAAAACAGUCACUAAGUCCAGUCAUGGGAGGUGGUGGGUGGGAAAGAUUACAUUCAACCCCCUGGAAGUGGGAAUAUCCAUAUGUAGUAUUUGGAAUUUUUCUAUAUGGAAAAUUUGUUUCUCCCUCCCACCCUAAUUUGUUUACAUCAGUAUGGACUCAUGUAUAUUUUGUAUUUUGGGUAACACAGUAUUUAUUUUGUUGCUUAAGUUGUCCAGCUUGGCUAUUAGGAGUUCUGCCAGGUUGGCUACUAUGUCCCUUUGAUGUGCCCAUCCUUUUGAUUUUUGAGCACUUCUUACUUUCUGGCACUACAAGAUGCUCCAGGUUCAUCUUGGAUAUUCCCUGCCCCAACCCUAGAAUCCCUAGAAUCAACCCCUGCUCCAAAGAGCCCUGGUUCCUUUUGUUGGAGAAUCAUACUUAGAAACCAAGAUCUGGGCAUUAGAUGUGCUUGUUGCUACUGGGAUGUCACUGUUUGUAGCAGAGUUGAGAAAUAUGUAUGUAUAUUAAUCCAUGCAUAUGUACACAUCUAUAAUUAUUUAUGUGUGUACAAAGCUAAACAUGAGUUUGUACUGCCGUCUUCAACUCAAAAUUUGUCCCAAAAUUUUGUGGCAUAUGUUUAGAUUUUAAAGUUGAUAUUUUCCCUAUUGACA